UUGUUUUGUUUUAAAGAUAAGGGCAAGUGAAGUGUAGAUACCUUGAAGCAGGAACCUUAGCACUUGACCUUGAAGUCCUUCCAAGCUUCCUUGCUUAGAGCUGGAAAGUUCCGGAUAUCUCUGGAGAUGAAAAAAUGCACAGGAUAGCAGAGAUUUCCAUGGGGAAGGCCACCUUUUCUGGCUAGACUGCCAGCCUUCCAACCAACCGUCCUUCCUUCCCACAACAAGAACAGGCUCCACUGCCACAAAGUCUGGGAGCUGAGGACAGUCUCACCUGUAAGAUAUUAGAGCAGUAAAACCUCAUAGAGAUGAUAUUAUAUUAAUAGGGUAAGGGCAUAGACUCUAGUCAAAUGGUUGAGUUUGAAUACUGGGUCCGCCUCUUAGUAGCUAUGUAAACUGGGCAAGUUAAUGAACCUCUUUGAGUCUCAAUAUUAUUUUCUGUAAGAUAGAGAUGAUUUUAGUCCCAUUUCAUAGUUAUUAUGAGAAUUAAAUGAGUCAAUACAUUUAAGGUGUGUAAAACAGUGUUUUUAAUGUAGGAAGUGCUCAGUAAGUGUUAACCAUUUAUAUAUCAAGCCACUUAAGCAGUGAUUUGGCCAAAGACAGAAUCUCUAGCCCUCUCCAGCUCAGUGAUUUUAAACAGCCCAGAUGAUCUUUGUGGGGGUAUAAAUACUUUCAUUUUAAUAACUAUACAUUUCUUAUGUAUCAGGAAAAAAUUUCAAGUCCAUUUUUUCCUAGACAUUAUUGAUCAGAUUGAAGAUAAAGCUUUAAAACGUGAAUAUACAUCAGAACAUGUACUUUGCAACAUGGACAACAUUAUAAUGACAAAAGCUGAAUCUGAAAGGAUAAAUGAGAGUAGGGAAGGCCCCCCUGGCAGAGGGGCUACUUGUGCAAAGGCCCAGGGAUAAUCCAGCAUGAGAACAGGAAAGAGAGAUGAUGCUGGAGAUGGGCAAUCAGAAUACACUGAGCUUUCUAUGCCAUGUUAAUGAGUUUGGACCUUGUCCCAGAGGUGAGGGGAAGUGCAGGUGGACAAGGCUGAUGAGGAUGUGAAGCAGGGAGCUGGUUAGAACCCUGUUGCCCAUUAAGAUAUGAUGAGGAUGUGAGCAGCAGUCGUGGAAAGAGUGAAACAAGUAGGUGAAGUCAAGAAAUAUUUGGGAGGUAAAAGAGGAUGCCCAGCAUUCUAGCUCGGAAUCCAAACAGAUGCUGUGUCAUCAACCAAGCCUGUGAAUGCAGGGGUUGGAGUGAGGGGGAUGUUCACUAAAUGAGGGCAGAGAAAAUAUUCAGUUUGGUUUGGAACUGUCA
rnacentral:lncRNA from 1 species